rnacentral:rRNA from 1 species
AGAGUUUGAUCCUGGCUCAGGACGAACGCUGGCGGUGCGCCUUAUGCAUGCAAGUCGAGCGAAGCUUUUCAGUAGUUUACUACAGAAAAUGACUGAGCGGCGAACGGGUGAGUAACGCGUGAGCAACCUACCUUAGUUACUGGGAUAGCCCGAGGAAACUCGGAUUAAUACCGGAUAUUCUUAUUUAAUCACAUGAUUUUUUAAGGAAAGGUCAGCCGAACUAAGAUGGGCUCGCGUUCUAUCAGCUAGUUGGUGAGGUAAAAGCUCACCAAGGCUACGACGGAUAGCUGGUCUGAGAGGACGAUCAGCCACACUGGGACUGAGACACGGCCCAGACUCCUACGGGAGGCUGCAGCAGGGAAUAUUGCGCAAUGAGCGAAAGCUUGACGCAGCGACACCGCGUGUGGGAUGACGGAUCUAGGUUUGUAAACCACUUUCAGGAGGGAAGAAAAUGACGGUACCUCCACAAGAAGCCCCGGCCAACUACGUGCCAGCAGCCGCGGUAAUACGUAGGGGGCGAGCGUUGUCCGGAUUUAUUGGGCGUAAAGAGCUCGUAGGCGGUUCAACAAGUCGGUCGUGAAAGUUCAGGGCUCAACCCUGAAAUGUCGAUCGAUACUGUUGUGACUAGGAUACGGUAGAGGUGAGUGGAAUUCCGAGUGUAGCGGUGAAAUGCGUAGAUAUUCGGAGGAACACCAAUUGCGAAGGCAGCUCACUGGGCCGCUAUCGACGCUGAGGAGCGAAAGCUAGGGGAGCAAACAGGAUUAGAUACCCUGGUAGUCCUAGCUGUAAACGAUGGAUACUAGACGUAGGAACUGGAUUGACGGUUUCUGUGUCGCAGCUAACGCGUUAAGUAUCCCGCCUGGGGAGUACGGUCGCAAGACUAAAACUCAAAGGAAUUGACGGGACCCCGCACAAGCGGCGGAGCAUGCGGCUUAAUUCGAUGAUACCCGUAGAACCUUACCUGGACUUGACAUAUAGGGUCUAGCUAUAGAGAUAUAGUGUGCAUUAGCGCCCUAUACAGGUGGUGCAUGGCUGUCGUCAGCUCGUGUCGUGAGAUGUUGGGU